ensembl:lncRNA
CUUGGUGAAGACAGCCACCAAAUCGCUCCGCCAAUGUAUUUGGGUGGAACCUCUGGCUUGGGUUAAUUCCUGGAUGUAGGCAUUCAUUUAGGGAUGGGCUCGUGACACAGGUGGCCUCUGCUGUGCCCGAGAGCCCAUUUCGUUGGGGAAUUGAGAAGGAUUCAGCAAGUGGCUGUGCAUCCGACCCUCAGUAUGAGGUCCUGGGGAUAAACCGGUGAAUAAAAGCAGGAAGAGGCUGUCCCUUCCCGAGAACAAAUCCCUCCACUGAGAGUUAGAGCUGCCCUUGCCUUCUGGGGUGCCUCGUCUCUUCCUGAGCAAGCUGGGGGCAGCGCCAUGGUCAUCCCUGCCAAUUCCAGUGCGCAAGCCUGGAGCAGCGUUCCUGGAAUCCACAGGGACUCAAGACCGCAUCGCCAACGAUGGCAAUCCUUGCCAUCCUCAUGGUCCACACCUCACAGAGGAGCCACUUGAACAUACGUCCAUCCCAUCAAGUACGAAUCCCUUACCAUAUGAGCUGAGGAUCAGCACCCGACUUUCUACCCAGCGACUCAGAGAACAGCCAGGGGAAGCUCCAGGCCUGAUUCAGCCCUGCUCACCUCCCACCCUACGCUGCACCCAACAGGAUGGGUGUCCCCGGCAAAAACCUACGAUCGUGCAAUCAGGCCAACUGGUGUCCACCUAUAGUCGGGACCGCUAGGUCAAAGGAUGUUCAACCUCCCGCCCUCUCCAUGUGUCUUGUCUUCCCCACUUGUCAGUGGGAUCACUUCCUACCCUCUUUUCCCCGACAGAGUCCC